CCUACGAGAGGCAGCAGUGAGGAAUAUUGGUCAAUGGGCGCGAGCCUGAACCAGCCAAGUAGCGUGAAGGAUGACUGCCCUACGGGUUGUAAACUUCUUUUAUAAAGGAAUAAAAUGUUCCACGUGUGGGAUUUUGUAUGUACCAUAUGAAUAAGGAUCGGCUAACUCCGUGCCAGCAGCCGCGUUAAUACGGAGGAUCCGAGCGUUAUCCGGAUUUAUUGGGUUUAAAGGGAGCGUAGGUGGAUUGUUAAGUCAGUUGUGAAAGUUUGCGGCUCAACCGUAAAAUUGCAGUUGAAACUGGCAGUAUUGAGGACAGUAGAGGUAGGCGGAAUUCGUGGGGUAGCGGUGAAAUGCUUAGAUAUCACGAAGAACUCCGAUUGCGAAGGCAGUUCACUGGACUGCAACUGACACUGAGGCUCGAAAGUGUGGGUAUCAAACAGGAUUAGAUACCCUUGUAGUC
rnacentral:rRNA from 1 species